UACAGAGGUCCCAAGCGUUGUUCGGAUUCACUGGCGUAAAGGGUGCGUAGGCGGUCGGGUAAGUCUGUCGUGAAAUCUCCGAGCCCAACUCGGAAACUGCGUCGGAUACUAUUCGGCUAGAGGAAUGGAGGGGAGACUGGAAUUCUCGGUGUAGCAGUGAAAUGCGUAGAUAUCGAGAGGAACACCAGUGGCGAAGGCGAGUCUCUGGACAUUUCCUGACGCUGAGGCACGAAAGCCAGGGGAGCAAACGGG
rnacentral:rRNA from 1 species